UAUGCAAUUACUCAGAAGUCGGAAGGAGAGAGAGGAGAGAGUACGAUCGAUCCGAUCCGAUCCGAUCCGAGAUCGAAGACUUCGAAUCUUUCUCGUGUUCUUCCGUUUCGGGGGAUGAAUCGAUACCGAUUUGCUCCGCGGAUUCCCCUACGGAUUCGAUUGGUGCCCUUCCCAGGUCCCGGAUGCCGGUGUCCUGAAUCAUCAAGACCAGCGAAUCACUCCGAUCGCGGUACGUUUCCCUUUCACAGGGCAAUGCGAAUUGGUGGUUUUCUUUGAUUCCACCGCGGAAUCCCGUUGAGAUUGAUGUUGGUGACCUUCGAUUGCGGCGCGGAAUUCUUGAGUUUUCCGUUGGCUUCUGAAAGGUUUCGCAUCUCCUUACAGGUUCGGGAACACCGGUCGCGAAUAGUUUACGAGGUCGAGGGUUUUUUUGGGAUCUUAUUUGGAUUUACCGGGUUUAUGAGAAGAGGAUUAAUUAGAUGACAAGAAGCAAAGGCGAUUUGAGUCGAGAUCGAGUGCUUCUCGUAUUCUUCUUUGGGUGACAACUGCGUAGACUUUGAAGAUUUUGUUGUGGUUGAAACUGAUGCGGGUUUCUAAAAACAGCAGAUUGAGGUGAACGGAUUUAUUUGGGGGGUUUCUGCGAUUGAGAGGAUCUUGCAGAGAUUGAUUUUCUUCGUCGAGAGAUAUAUCUAUGGGCCUUUGAAGGUAUUAGUCGCAGUUGAAUGUGAUGAAAAUUCUGGGUUUUCUGAAGCCAGACGGGUAGACUAUUACUAGACCUAAAAGAUUUAGUUGAAGAUUGUGUUAAAAAUUGCAAGAAUUUUAAUGGCCAAGGAUCUUGAGCAGAUCGAAAUAAAUUCAAGAUCUUGGAUAUGGGGAAGCAUCUGGUGCUACGAAUCAAGUGUCAAAUAUUGCUAAUGGGGAGAAUAGAGAUCAUGAACUGAAGUUGGCAUGAGCAGCCGACAAAAUAUCAAUGGUACAAAACUGCAAUUUAUUCAACCUGUAACAGAAGAGUAGAAAAAUGCUGUAUCGGGCAAUGUCUUUGGUGCUUGUUAUCCAUGGAAAGUUAUAAUAAGGCUCGAUGGAGUAGAUUUGGGCAUGCCACUCUUUAUAUGCUCGAGCAAGAUUUUUUUUUUGUGUUUGAUGUUCAAGAUAAGGCAACUAAACAACUAGUGGUAGAGAUGGGACCUUAUUUUUUUGGCUGUAAGCCUUUGGUUUCAAAGCCUUGGGGACCUGUUUUUGUUAUGAAAGAAGAGAAGAUAAUAUUAUACCUAUACGGAUCAGUUACAAGGAGUGCCUUUGUUCUUUGAUCAGUUUACAUUUAGAAAGGAGAGACUUUUCGUUUGCUUGAAGUUGCGUGGAGAUCAGUUACCUCAAAGCUGUUCAGGUUUUCAAUGGUGAUAUUUGUUGAUCAACCUACUGAUUAUGAAUGGGCACCUUUAAGUUGUAAAUUCUGCAGUUGUUUGGGUUAUAUUUGAUGAUAAAUGUAAGAAGGGGUCUCAAAUUAUUGGUAUAAGGCAGAAGAAGAAAUCUGUUAUCGAUAAUAAUCUUAGAACUAUGCUUUUACAGCAUGAAAUUUGUAACCACUUGGGGUUUCAUAUAUUAACUAUAUCUUCUGCUUGCCAGAUAAGCUUUCAACCGCAUAUAGAAGUAUGGUGCCCUAAAACAAGAUUGCUAUAUUAGUUAUCAGCACUCUCUUCACCAUACCGAGAGAGAGAGAGAGAACCUUGCAUCAAUUUUAUGUGUUUAUUAUACUUCCAUCAAAUGUCUGGAUCUAUUGUGUGAAACGACUUACCAGUUUGGCUCCUAGUUCUUUUAAAGCACCAGUCAGGUUCAACUCCAUGGCUUUUGCAGACAUUCCAACAAGAGCUAGUAACCAUCCAGCAUCUAGUUUCAAUUCAGGAUCUCCAGCCUCUUUUGCUGCUUAUACUUAACAUUAAACAGUUACGUGAAUCCUUGAUGUUUUGGAAGUCCCAGAAAAUUUCCACCAGAUCAAGCUCCAAAAGUGCCUUGCAUGUAUAAUCAACCUAUAAGAAGGGAUGGGUACAGCACAAGGUUUUCUCAUGGGGACUAUAGAAGGGUUACAUUUACAAGAAAAAUCCCAGUUAUGCCUCUAAUUGAUGACAGAGCUGAUGCUACUGAAUACCAUCAAACUGGAAGUUUUUUCAACUGUCCCUCUUCAUCUUGCUCAGAUAGCACAAAUGUUAUUUCAAGUACUGAAUGCUUGUUUUGGACACCAUAAACAUGCUAGCCAGCUACGGGAAUGAUAAAAGCAAUUAUAUUGUUGGCGAUGGACUGCAGAAGAAAUCAAGACUUUGGCAUAAUGACGAAUAUCAUUCUCAAUUCAUGUCAACUUGGUUCUUUGCUUCAAGAAAUAUAACUUAUGAUUUUUAUUCAACCUAUAAGACUUCUGAUCCAAGACUGACAGAAUGGUGGAACCAUUUUGUUGCACCCAUGGAACCCCAGUGACAGGUUACAUCCUCAGGUUAGUCACCUUAGAAUAGUUGGUUAAACGAUUUUGUUGUUAGGUUAUGUGUCUUAUUUAUACUUUUAGUUUGUGUUCAUGAGCUGAACCAGCUCACGACAAGAGGUAUGUUAAUGGUGGUACCAUGGUGAUACUGCAUAUUUUCUCCAUUUCAAUCAGAACAGAAAUGCAAGUGGUCAUCUGCCAGCUUUUCAAUGUCCUUCCAUCCGAGUUAUGGUGCCAGCUCAAAGUGGCCACACCCAGAUGGAGUGGAAGCAGGUGCACCUUCCAGACAAUUGUGGCUACUGCUUAUCCUAGGGAAUAUCAUAGAGCUUUGCAUCAGAGAUCCCAAUCUAUGUUCAAUGAACACAAUGAACACAGUCGAUGGGUCAGCCUUUUACAGGUCGAUAGAUCUGUUUGAUCAGCACAGGAACAUGAGAAUGAAUAUGGACAACAUUUGCUAUGUGAGUUAUUUUCUGCAGGAAUUACUUGCUUUGGAUUAAAGGAUAGGAAAUGCCAGUACAGUCUUGUCGGAAGUGACAGCUUCAAGGUGCAUGAUGGAGACAGCCUACCUUUUUUCUCAUCAAAUCCAGGAUGAAGGAAACUGUCAUAUGCCCGGUAAAGACUAAUAUCCGUAACCCAGUUUAUACACAAUUCCUGCUGCCAAUAAUCUUGGAAGACUUGGACCAAGAUUACAUUUGUAGGAAGAGUAUAAGGAGAGGGAGAAAUGGGGAAGACUUCCAUGUUAGCUGCAUGUGGAAGCCAAUAAAGAACGGUUGCCCGGUUUGCAACGACUCUGCUUUUAUUGGACCUUAGGAGAAGGCAACGAUUCUUUGUAAUUUAGCUUAGGCUAUUGGUGUCAUUUUGUUCUUUUAAGCUUUUGUUCUUGAAGGGCUAUUAGAAUGUCAGAAUUUGGAAAUAAGCUCAAACUUCUUUAAUUAAGCUCAAUUUGUGGUAAAAGCUCUUUCUUGGAGUCUAGCAGUUGAUGUUGAACUUGAGAUAAGACAUUUUGGAUUACCAAUCUUGGAUUAAGUUGGUCAAAUACA